AUGUCUAGGCCGUGGGUGCAGGCUCUCACGGAGCCUGCCUUUCCUGCCAGCCCUCAUGCGGCUGACUCUGAGAGGGUCCCAGGCCUGGCCAGGCACCGGUUUUUGCCGGGGGUCCUGGCACGGUCGUCACAGUGUGACAAUCGGUUGGAUCCCUGGGGCCAGGGCACCCUGGUCACCGUCUCCUCAGGGCAACCUAAGGCUCCAUCAGUCUUCCCACUGGCCCCCUGCUGCGGGGACACACCCAGCUCCACAGUGACCCUGGGCUGCCUGGUCAAAGGCUACCUCCCCGAGCCAGUGACCGUGACUUGGAACUCGGGCACCCUCACCAGUGGGGUACGCACCUUCCCGUCUGUCCGGCAGUCCUCAGGCCUCUACUCGCUGAGCAGCAUGGUGACCGUGCCCUCGAGCAGCCGGCCCGUCACCUGCAACGUGGCCCACCCAGCCACCAACACCAAAGUGGACAAGACUGUUGCGCCCUCGACAUGCAGCAAGUCUCCAUGCCCACCCCCUGAACUCCUGGGGGGACCGUCUGUCUUCAUCUUCCCCCCGAAACCCAAGGACACCCUCAUGAUCUCACUCACCCCUGAGGUCACAUGUGUGGUGGUGGACGUGAGCCAGGAUGACCCCGAGGUGCAGUUCACAUGGUACAUAAACAACGAGCAGGUGCACACUGCCCGGCCGCCACUACGGGAACAGCAGUUCAACAGCACGAUCCGCGUGGUCAGCACCCUCCCCAUCGCGCACCAGGACUGGCUGAGGGGCAAGGAGUUCAAGUGCAAAGUCCACAACAAGGCACUCCCGUCCCCCAUCGAGAAAACCAUCUCCAAAGCCAAAGGGCAGGCCCUGGAGCCGAAGGUCUACACCAUGGGCCCUCCCCGAGAGGAGCUGAACAGCAGGUUGGUCAGCCUGACCUGCAUGAUCAACGGCUUCUACCCUUCCGACAUCUCAGUGGAGUGGGAGAAGAAUGGGAAGCCAGAGGACAACUACAAGACCACGCCAGCCGUGCUGGACAGAGACGGCUCCUACUUCCUCUACAGCAAGCUCUCAGUGCCCACGAGCGAGUGGCAGCGGGGCGAGCAAUACGCCUGCACCGUGAUGCACGAGGCCUUGCACAACCACUACACGCAGAAGUCCGUCUCCCACUCUCUGGGUAAAUGAGCGCUGUGCCGGCGAGCUGCCCCCACCCCUCCCCACGCUGCAGCUGUGCACCCCGCACACAAAUAAAGCACCCAGCUCUGCCCCAA